GAAAACGCUGUGGGAAGGAAAGUGGUGAGACGUGCUACGAUAAUGCAUCCUGGAGAAAGCAUGACACACGUGGUCAACUGUGAUGUCCUGGUCAAUCUAACCCUGUCCAAAAGAAAGUUAGAGAAAAAUAUGCUUCUACGCAUUGAUAAUAAGACUGUACCUGAAAUAAACGAAUCCGCUUUAAGGAGAAAUUACACCUUGGCAGAAAAAUAAAAAGCAGAAAACAGAAUCAAAUCAGAACUCACGCUAGUACAAAUAUAUGCUUAGCACACUUCACAGAAGAUUUGUUUGUGAGAAGUAAGAAGAUUCGAC